UACGUAGGGGGCAAGCGUUGUCUGGAUUUAUUGGGCGUAAAGAGCUCGUAGGCGGCUUGUUGCGUCGGCUGUGAAAACCCGCAGCUCAACUGUGGGCUUGCAGCCGAUACGGGCAGGCUUGAGUUCGGUAGGGGAGACUGGAAUUCCUAGUGUAGAGGUGAAAUUCGUAGAUAUUAGGAAGAACACCGGUGGCGAAGGCGGCCCACUGGUCCGGUACUGACGCUGAGGUGCGAAAGCGUGGGGAGCAAACAGG
rnacentral:rRNA from 1 species